UCAACCCUCAAGCUUGGCUUGUUAUUGGACCGUGUUACUUAAAUGUAACUGAUCUCAAAGGCAAUGACAGUGUCAUAUCUGACCCUAGAUGCAAUGAGCUUUUGAAGCACGCAUUUUGGUGGUCGAUUUGAUUUUCGUCUAGCAAAUAUUUCUCACAA
rnacentral:misc_RNA from 1 species